GGAGGAGGACAGAUUGUUCUUAGGCUUUUUACAGGCACGUCCAGCAGUGUGGAUGUGGCUGCACUGAUGUGGUCCUCACCAGCACCAGUCUAUGCAAUGGGACCUGCACUCAGCUGAGGACAGAAGGCACCUUCUCAGCUAGACCAGUGAAAAGAAAAAAAAAAAAAGGCAGGAGAAAAACUGACAUCUGGAGGAUUGAUGUGAGGGGGAAUUUAGCUCUCAAGGAGUAUUUUCAGUUCUCUGCCUUCCCACCACUAACUUCUCACUGUGAAGCUCAUGUGAUGAAUACUGUCUGCUGGGGUUAACCAGCUGGUCCCCCAUCCCACAGAUCAGAAUUGAGCUCUUCUUAGUAAUGGAAGAGAUGAAGAGAGCUCCCUAAAUAUCUCAGCACCUGUGAGGGGACAGGUGUGCCCUUACCAUCCAUUAAAACACUGCUUGCAGGGUGCUCUCAAGCUGAAGAAGCUGAUAGCUGAGGAGAGAUGAUUUGGAUGCUGGAAGAUGCCUCCCUGCUGUCCCCUUUGCAAACUCUUCAGAAGGAAAGGAGGGGCCUCGCGAGACUGUUCGCCUUCAUAAAUCAUCCGAAGUGGGACUCAGCAGCCAGCACCAGUCCGCCCAAGCUGCAGGUGCCCGGAGCACGAAGGCAGCUGAGGAAGGGUCAGCUCCCUGCCCAGCGCUGGGAGGACGAGAGCCUCGGCACAUCCUCCUGUGCAGUGACAAUACCUUAUGAGUUUUGA
rnacentral:lncRNA from 1 species